CUGGGUGGGAUAGCUCGGGAACUGAGUAUAAUGCCCCAUAGGUAUAGGACGCUGGAAUGCCCCUAUGCUCAAAACUUCGGUGCCCAAGGAUGAGUCUGCGGUCUAUCAGGUUGUAGUAAGUGUAACGGACUUACUAGCCGACGACGGAUACGGGUCGUGAGAGCGAUCGCCCGGAGAUGGACUCUGAGACACGAGUCCAGGCCCUACGGGGCGCAGCAGGCGCGAAAACUUCACAAUGCGGGAAACCGCGAUGAGGGAACUCCAAGUGCCUAUGCUUAGCAUAGGCUGUUCAGAUGCCUAAAAAGCAUUUGAAGUAAGGGCUGGGUAAGUCGGGUGCCAGCCGCCGCGGUAAUACCCGCAGCCCGAGUGGUGGUCGUUAUUAUUGGGCCUAAAGCGUCCGUAGCCGGUCCGGUAAACCUUUGGGUAAAUCGACGUGCUUAACACGUCGAAUUCCGAAGAGACUGCCGGACUUGGGACUGGGAGAGGUCGGAGGUACUCUUGGGGUAGGGGUGAAAUCCUGUAAUCCUAAGAGGACCACCAGUGGCGAAGGCGUCCGACUAGAACGGGUCCGACGGUGAGGGACGAAGCCGUGGGGCGCAAACCGGAUUAGAUACCCGGGUAGUCCACGGUGUAAACGCUGCAGGCUUGGUGUUGGGGGUCCUUCGAGGGCGUCCAGUGCCGAAGAGAAGUUGUUAAGCCUGCCGCCUGGGGAGUACGCUCGCAAGAGUGAAACUUAAAGGAAUUGGCGGGGGAGCAC
rnacentral:rRNA from 1 species